GCUAAGACAUGAUGGAAGACCUUUACUAAAAGAAGAAAGAGAUCAUAAUAUUACAGUUACAAUUUAUCAAUAUCACCCUUGGUGGUGGUUAAGGCCAGGAUUAAGAACAGGAGACAAUAUCACCUCAUUCGCACAACAGGAAAUAGAAGACAAUUUCACUUCCCAUACAACACUGGAUACAGAAUCGUAUGUCACCUCCAUUACACCAGUCUCCUAUAAUGAAAUGGUUGAGAAAAAACAAUUCACCAUCCCAGAAUCUGGUAUUGUUAGCUUUGAGUUUCCAGUAAUGCAACGUUUUGGGCAAAUACAUAUUGAGGUGGGUACAUAUCUUUUCUCAGCACUUGUACAUGCUGUUUAAAAUGAGCUGUAAUUAGUCAGAAUUUUGGGAUAUUGUCUAAAUUCCAUAACUCCAAAACACUAUAUGGUAUAAACAUGAAAGCAAUGAUUCAGUUUGUUUGAUUCAUGAUUCAGAGGUUCUGUGGUGCCAAAAAAGGGACAAUUGAUGGGGAAAAAAGUUGAUUUUAUUCACAUAUCAUGCAGGAAGUGACUAAUAGAGGAAAAAAGUAGGAGCAAUAAAAUAUAUAUAUAUAUACAUGUUUAAUAUACUUAGAUAUUUAAUAAAUAUAUUAUCUUAUGUAUAUAUAUAUGCUUUCCUAUGCGACGGGCUGAAUGCGCGCACAGCUCUUGCCGCGCGUGCGCAUUCAGCCCAGGAGGAGGAUCGGAGGAGGAGAGAAGGAGGAGAGCUCUCCGCCCAGCGCUGGAAAAAGGUAAGUUUUUAACCUUUUCCCCCUUCCAGAGCCGGGCGGGAGGGGGUCCCUGGGCACCCUCAGGGAACUAUAGUGGCAGGAAACGAGUAUGUUUUCCUGGCACUAUAGUGGUCCUUUAAGAAACCCAGUUUGUCAGAGGGAGCCCAUGGCAAUUCUAGUAAAAGACCAGAUUUUAUACAAGGUCACCAAGGCCAUUGAAGUGGCAAGCAGGAGAGGUUUGGCAAGGCCAGUGGAGCAAUCAAACAUCUCCCUUAUCAGCCAGCUCAUUCUCAUGCCCCAGGAGGCAGGGAGCAGCAGGAGGUUGCAGACCACAUGCGUUGCUCCUAUGAGCAUUGCCAAGGGUUACUGGAUUAAGCAAUGCAAGUUGCCUGCACCCAUGGACGGUGCAGACCAAAUGAUGCAGCCAGUUGAUCAACUCCCAAGAGGGUGGGGGGGAUACACUUACUUUCCUCCCUCCCUCCCUACAGACCCUAACACACCCCCAAUGAUCAAAACAGUCCAUAUUUCCCCAACACACAACAGCCCCUAUUACUCACCAACACAAAGAACACACAAACACAACUUUCCCUAUCACUCCAAUUCACACACAAUUGACCCUAUGUCUCUCAACACGUACUCAACAGUUCCUAUCUUCCUCAAACACACACACUCAACAGCCCCUAUAUUUCCUCAACACACACAACAGUCCCUAAACCCAUACUUGAGGCACAUUUCCCCCGCACACAUAAACCACAGUAACAUUUUCCCUCACACACUAAAGCACCCAUCCUCCCCACACACUAAGGCCCUCAUUUCCUUAAACACCCUAUAUUCCCUAACACUAUAAAAACCUCUGCAGCAUCCAUCCCCCAAACACUCACUUAGGUCCUGUCUCUCUAAUAACAUAUACUAUAGCUACUACCCACAUGCAACCUCUAUUCACAUGCAAAACACAUACUACACAGCAAACAGCCCAAUCCACAGACACACAACCCACAACAAUCUCCCACCCAAACAUGCAGCUCUACAAGCAGCCUCCCCCGGAUAUGUAACACCACAAGCAUCGUGCACAUAUUCAACCCCACAAGCAGCAUGCUGAGAAACAUACUACAAGCAGCCACUCCUUGCACAGGCAAACUUAAAAAGUAGUGUCCCCACUAAUCUUCAGCACCACAAGCAGCCUACCACCACACACUAGGAACCACAAGCAGCAUUUUACCCUUCUUAUUUUGUACCAUAGAUGUUCUUAUUUCUUUCAUUUGCCAAUUUCUUACCAGAUUAUUCUUAUUAUCACAAUGAUCUUAGAUACAUUUAUUCUCCCUCUUGAUUAUAUACCAUGAAAUGGAAGAAAAAAGACCUCCGUUUUGUAAAAUACCUAUAAAUAUCUCUAAAUAAUAGGUCAGUGAGUAAUUGUUGCUAGAUAUCUACGAUCAAUUGUCUCUGGGAUCAAACGUGUCUUUGAGAAUAACAUGGGCCUUGAUUGAAUAAGCUUACCAAAUUAUUCCAAUCUGUUAGGAAAAAAAACUUUUCAAAUUAUAUAUUAUUUACAACAUUUCUAAAAGACUGUAUUGGUGACAUCUGUAGAUAAUUUAUUUUGAAAGAUUUUCUAUCAGGACUGAAUCAUUUGGAAAACUUUUUAAACUGAAGCCAUAGUUAGAAAAAGAAAGACCAAUACAAAUUUACACACAGCCAUUUCAUCUGUCCCAAAGAACCUGAACAAGAAAAUAUUUUGUUCAAACUGCUGGUUAUUAUGUAGUCAUAACCUAGACUAUAUUUUUGAUGGUACAAUUACAUUCCAUUAGGGCCAGUCCCUUAAGGCCAAUCUUAAGGUGUUUUCUGGCCUUUGUACUGCCUCAUUUUUUUCCAGUACUGCCUCUCAUUUUUUUCCAGUACUGCCUCUCUACCUCUUAUAAUCUAGUAAGCUCCUUAUGGUGGCAAGGACAAGGAUUCAAGAAUGAAAAAUGUCAGAGGAGUGUAUCUAGAGCAAGCAUGUCAAACUGUAUCUAGGGCAAGCAUGUCGUGGCAAAAUCUUGUGGCAAGCAUGUCAAACUCAUGUCAAAUUGCCUAAUUAGAGAGCCCUGCUGGGCCACAAAUAUAUUCAUUGUGGGAUGAAUGCAUUUGUCCCACAAUGAAUAUAUUUGCGGCUCUCUAAUUAGGCGAUUUAGGUGGCCGCCUAAGGCCAUGCACUGAUUAAGGCUUGACGGCCACCUAAAUCUAUGAUGUAGGGAGGUGGCCCGGCAGCUUGCUCAUUAUGCCGCCGGGUAUGAGGCCCUUCCCUCAGUCUGGUUUGAGAGAGAGCCAAGCACUGCAGUUUUGCAAUCUCCAGCCAAUCAGAGCAUUGCUGUGGCAACGCUCUGUCUCUGCUGGAGAUCACAAGACACUUACCAUGUGGUCUGCAGCUCUGCACUCAGCUGCAGACCAGAUAAACAGAACACUGGACCACCUGCAAAAGCUGCCCACCUGACCACCAGGGAAUGUAUUAGGAAAUAAUUAUUUUGAAAAAAGGUAAUUUUGAUAGCAAAACACAAUAUCGCCUCCCCCCUACUCCACACUAUACCUCCCCACUCCACACUAUAUCUCCCACUUACUCCACACUAUAUCAACCCCCAGCUUCACACUGUAUCACCCUCCUGCUGCACACUGGAUCACCUCCCUGCUCCACACUACAUUACCCCCUCCAUACACACUGUCACCCCCCUCCACACACUGUCACCCCCCAUCCACACACUCUCACCCCAGUCACCCCACACUCCCUGUAAAUUUCUCUCACCCCAGUCAGUGGCUAUAUUAAAAUACACAGAAGCCUAGUAAUAAGUGAAUCCAGUGGCUAUAUUAAAAGGCACAGACACCUAGAAAUAAGUUUGAAUGAAAUAAAAAUUUGCAGGAAACUUUAACCAUUCAGAUGAAACCAAUGAAGGACAGAAAGGGUUAUGUAUGGACGUAGCAGGGAAUGUGGAGCAUCUAAGAGUAAAGAACUUACCCCAAUUCUCCCCCUAAUAAUGACAGACACCAAAUAUUGGAUGAAACAGGCCACAGCAUUUAUUAAACAUACAACUGUAGGACUCAUCCAAACUUUAUUAACCUUCGAUUUAAAUAUAAAUAAGCACAUUAACCAUAACUUAACAUAUAAAUAACCACUUAUUGCCCUACAGCCUUUAGCUUAAAUAACCGUCCUUACCAAUGAACUUAACCAGGUGCCUAUGCACCAAAACUUGCCCACUGGGCUCUUGCCUCCCCCCUCGUCCAAACCAAAAUUCCCUUUUUCUUUCAAUGCUCACCACCAGCUGGCUUUAGCUCGGUGGGCACAUCCAAGUUGGUAACUGAAAAGUUUACCUUACAGAGAAGGGCAGGGCCGGUGCAAGGAUUUUUGCCGCCCUAGGCAAAAGUAAGGUUUUCCGCCCCCCCCAUGUGACAUCACAAUGCCCCACCCAUAUGAUCUGCCAUGUUAACUAAUGCCAGUGCUGCAGUGCCGCCGUGUUUACAUUAAAAGGCCUGCAGGGACAGGCUAUAGACACCAGAACCACUACAUUAAGCUACAGUGGUUCUGGGGACUAUAGUGUUUCUUUAAUGUGAGGUAAAUUAGAGAUUAGUGCCACAAAUAAUAUACUAGAUUGCCUACUUACAACCAGAUGAGGAUGGUGAUGGGCUCUGGCUGCAGUCUGGCUCCACUGGUCUGGUGUAGAACAGGAUCUCUGGAGGCUGUUUGUAACUGUGGUCACAAAAAUCAAUGUUCUGGGAGAACGGGAAGCAGCUCCAUUUUUGGGGGCCCUUUACACAGCUCAAGGUCUGGGUCCCAGGGUCCACCUUCAUGCUCCACCAAUGAGUUUGUUCACAGAGAGAGUUUGUAGGGGAUGUCCUGAUAUGUGUGUAAGGAAUGCAUUGUGUGAAUCUGUGUUUGUAUUUGUAAGGGCUGCAAGGUGUGUUUCUAUGUAUGUACGGGAUGCAGUGUGUGCGUCUGUAAGGGGUGCAUUGAGUGUGUGUAAGGGAUGCAUUGAGUGUGUGUAAGGAAUUCAUUGUGUGUUUCUGUGUGUAAGGGAUGCAUUGUGUGUAAGGGUUGCAUUGCUUGUGUGUGUGUGUGUGUCUGUGUGUAUAAUGCAUUGUGUGUGUAAUGCAUUGUGUGUUUUUCUGUGUGCAAGGGGUGCAUUGUCUUUGUGUGUAAGGGGUGCAUUGUGUGUGAUUGUGUGUGUGUGUGUGUGUGUGUGAUGGAUGUCAAUCUCUCCCCCUCCCUUGUCACUCUCUUCUCCCCCCCUUGUCACUCUCUUCUCCCCUCCCCCUCCCCACUCUCGGCCCCCUUCCUCCCCGUCAAUUCCCCUGCCUGUCAAUUUCUUUCUCACCUCUCCAUGUCAAUUUCUUUCCUGUCAAUUUCUUUCUCUUCUUUCUUUCCUCCUCCCGUCAAUUCUCUCCCUCCCUGUCAAUUUCUUUCCCCCCCUCCUUGUCAAUUUAUUUCCCCCCCUGUCAAUUUAUUUCUCCCCCCUUCCCUACCUCUGUUGUAGCAUGGCCGGCUCUGUAUGGUCCGCGGGUAAAGGGAGCUUUUGUUUCCUGUACCCGGCCAAACUCAGUGUGCACUUCCUGUUAGUCUGGCCGGGCACAGGAGACAGAUGCUCCCUUUACCCGCGGACCAUACAGGGCUCGGCUACGCUACACUGAGGGAGUGACAGGAGGGAGCGCUGAGCGCUUCCCUCCUGUCAGCUCCUCUCCUCAUGCUGCGCCCGGGCAGUGCACCCUCAUGGACGCACCAGCCCGGGCAAAGCUGCAGCCACCUGAGGCUCUCUACAGAGCGCUCAGGUGGCUGCAGCAUGAGGGGGGCCCAAGGGGCGCCCUAGGCAACUGCCUAUUCCGCCUAACAGGUAGCGCCGGCCCUGGAGCAGGGGAGGUUGAGACCCACCUUGUCCAUCUCCUGACAUUCCAUCUGAUAUUCCCAAACCCUGUUGGCAAGCCCCACCCAAACGAACCAAGGCCUGUUUCACCGCUUCCUGGAUAGAAAGAUUAAAGAGGUCAAGCACAACCUCCGUUAGGUGCACGACAUCCCUACUGAACAAAACACCCUGUGGCGAACCAGGAUCCCUUUAACCCCUGACACAAAAUUAGAGACCAUACGAUAAAAUUUAACCCAACAGCGUUCUAUGGCUCUUUGAUUAUGGGCUCGCUGCCAGUACUUGCGUGAAAUGACUUCCGACCAGAUAAGCCUAACGUCCAGGAACAAAACCAAGACCCACGCUAAAUCCCUCUUAAUAGCGUUCCCCAAACCCCAAAUAGGCAUCAUCCCAAGAUCAUUACCCCCAGGUGAGAACACUAGGUGGACCCAAAAGCCGGGAAAGCUAAACUAGUUCAGGGAGGAGCCGAACCCACUUCAUACCUCUAUUCCCAAACCAGCGAACCUUCGCUUCAGAAGGCGUGAAACCUCCCGGACCGACAGCCGCCCGCUGCCUGGCCCAGAAGACAUACGAGACCCUGGAGGGACUCCCACAUAAGGAGAAAAACAUCAGUUUAGGAGGCGGGAAGAACGAACAUAUGAGACAAAAUGCCCAGAUGCCCAUGUCAGCAACACCCGGGGUUUCAACCAAGGACCCACUAGCAACAGCAGGCGCUGUGGCACCCAAUGCUGUAGCAGGGAUGCCAGCAUGGCCACCCACCACGGGAGAGGGGGACCCAGGGACCCCAGGAACUGCCAUAACCCCGUGCGGCUGCAGCGCCGAGGACCACACUGCCCGAAGCUGACCAUCUAAUGGGGGGUCCCUGCCUGCUUGCACACCCUGCUCCCACUGAUCCAGAAAAUCCCUAAGCCCUAAAAGAAACCCCCCCCAGUGAGGAACCCCUGGACUGAAAAGAAGAAACAUUAGUGUACUCACCAGCCGAUGCUCGAGGAACCUCCCAUGGCAAAGAAAACGAAGAUGAUCCAGGCAGGACAAAGUCAAUGUCAUUUUUAGCACUGUUCAGCCUUGCAGCAGCUCCUGGCACCACUUGCUGGACAGUUCCAGGAACAGCAGCCAGAUCCUGAGAAAAGAGCAGUGUAGAGGAGGUAAGCUCACACCCCGCUGAGAAGGGCAGCCGAGGAGGGGAGGAGGGAGGGUAACAGACAGAGCACUAGAAAAGGGGAAGAGAGAGGGAGGGAACCCAGGACCGAAGGGAGAGGGGGGACAAUAAAAGAGGACACCACAGGGGGGGAGGGAGAGGCGAACUAUGGACAGAACCCGGGGAAGGAGAGGGGAACCCCCCGGCUGACCCUAAUUUUCAGAAGACCCCCCCAAUGGCGGCACAGCCCACUCACUCUCACCGGCCCGGCUCUGGAUCCACUGGUGCGCCAACCACGCAGCGUCCGGGAACGCCUCCCAGAUACCUCAGGCUUUACUAGCUGUGCCACCCGUCUGUUCGCACCCACCGCUCACCGUCCAAGGCCGGGAAGCGUACUGGAGACCACAAGGGGAGCUGGCCGCGUGUCAGAUGGAGCUGACACACGGGCCUGACGGCGCCUCAGGCCUGGGCUCCAGGUCCUAUACCAGGCCUAAGGUGAGGCAUGACCACGGGGGGGGGGGACCCACACCGGCGACUAGACCAGGUUGGAGGUGCCUACCACCAUCCAAGGCAGCAGCAGCUCUGAGGGCAGACAGGAUACCUUCUAUAUCCAUCCUUCAAGUCACCAGGCCCAGGACAAACAGGAGCGCAGAGGCAAGGAAGUUGUUUGCUGGCCAGUCCCAGGAACAUAAAUAUACACCUACAAAAAAAUAAAAAAAAAUAAAAAUUAUAUAUAUAUAAUUUUUUUUAUUUUUAUUUUUUUGUAGGUGUAUAUUUAUGUUACUGUCUCAAGGGCAACAUAACCAAUCUAGCAAAUUUCAAUGUGUAAAAGUUGAAAUGGGUAAGCCUUAUAUUUGACCCUGUAACUUUUCAAAACACUAUAAAACCUGGACUUGGGAGGUACUGUUGUACUUGUGAGACAUCACUGUAUUUUAUUGCAUUUAUCACUGAAUACAUUGCUGUAUUUUAUUGCAGUAUAAGCUAACAGUAUUAUGACAUUCACAGUUAAAAUACCAUACAGAACUAAGAAAAUAACAGUUUCUUAUUAAAUAUUCAUAUUAUAUUAUGUUUCAUAUAUAAAUAUUUGAUGUAAAACGAAAGCCCUGUUUCUCCGGAACAAAACCAUAUAUAAUAUGUGUUGAUGCACUUAAAGGGAUUCUAUACUGUUAGCAAUACAUAGUUGUAUCUCUUACAAUAUAGUUUCCUCUGACCUUCCCCCCUCAGUAUGGGAAGGUGUGGAGAAAAUGACCUUGCCACUGGUACUUGAAGCGGCCUGCUUACCAGCCUCUUGCCCCAGGACUAUGGCCCCUGUAUUAGACCUUGGUGCAGGACUGUGGAAAGGCUUUUUUUGUGCCUUUUCCCUUCUAUGGUUCAGUAUAUGGGGCUUACUGAAUGGAUUAGCUUAUGGUGUUCGUUUACUGAACAAACAACUGAACAGUCAGACCACCCACGAGUGGAGUGUGCAGCCUAUUAAACUGCCAGACUUGUGGUUAACCGCAGCUUAAUUGAUGAACGGCUGGGUGGUCGCUGUUCGUAUAGUUGAACACGUGGCGCGGCCAUCUUGUUUAGUCAAAUGCGUCCAGCGGUGUUUUGUCAUCGAGCGCAUGGAACUAAAAUCAGACACUCGAUGACUUGAACACCGCUGGGACUUCCACCUCCAGUUAGGUUCAACUAGAAUUGCACGAACGGAGCACCAUUCGGUAGAAAUAAUCUACUGAACCAGAUACACUCACUGACUCUGUGCACGUACGACUCCAUUCGACUAUUUGAACGUUACUUCGACUGUUCGAAAUAGACCGUCCGCACAGCGUAAUUCUCUGGAACUAUUUUGGGCAUGAAACCAUGCGUGCGGUCGGUCAAAAAAAGACUUACAGCUAACUUUUGAACCCCUGAACCGGUCUGGGUGAUUUUUAAGUUUGUUGUUCCCCCAGAUCGGGGCUCUCAAGAGAUGAAUGUUUUAUCGGGUUCCAUUAUGAUUUUGGGGUGUUUCCAAACAUACAUAAGUAUAUAAACGUGUCCAUUUUUUGUUUGGAGAUAAUUGAGUUGAUACAGACAGUAAUUAACUCAAUUAUCUCCCAAGCAGAGGGGAGGGAUUGUGUAUGCUAUAUGGGAGUGUCUCAAUGUAAAACUCUGUUUUUAUUGGUUUAUUAACUGUGUAUCCCUGUGCCCAACAAGGUCCACCUGGGUGUCACCCUUGUUGGGAAACCUGCAUAAAAGGCCAGUGUGCCUCCAUUAAAAUUGAGUUUCUGUUUUACCCACAACAGAGUCUCAUCUCAUGUGUGGGGAAAAAGGCUGUAUCUACCCUGGGGAUUGCUACAUCACUAUACUCCUCUGGGAUUAUAAUCACUAGCUCUUUUAAGAGCUGUUCCUGCUACGCUCUCUUGAGUAGGAGAGGCUCACCCACUGGAAGAUGGAUCCUGGUCUUAGGUCCAGGGUGGGUGGGUGGAGGACGACGACUUCCCAGCCAAGCUGUAAUGCUGGACAUGGGGACUGCAGUGUUGAUGGUGUCAGAUGGAGUGCUUGGAGUCCUCGGUGAGCACUAGGAGCAUCGACUAAAGGAGGUACCCAGUCGGGGUGCCAGGCACUAGAGGCAGUCUUGACAGCCACUAGAGGCAGUCUUAGUCCUGCAAUGUAAUCAUUGCAGUUUAUCAAAAACUGCAAUGAUUACAUGCAGUGCAGGCGCAUUAACUCCCCAUCAGAUAAUGUCGAAGGAGGUGGAGCGCUAAACCAGCGCCAAGGGAGAUUGCAGAACUAAGUGGGACAUGGACACUGCACCUAGGCCACUUCAACAAGCUGAAAUGGUAUGGGUGCUUAUAGUGUCCAUUUAAUUUCAAUUUUAGAUAUCCCUGAACAGCAAUCUAUAACCAAAAUUGUUUAAUACUAUAUUUUUUCAAUAACGUUGUAGUAGACGAUUAAUUAAUCAAUAACCAAUAAUUCUGUUUACAGGCUGAAUACCAAAAUGCUUACCAAGG